GAUGAAGAACGUAGCGAAAUGCGAUAAGUAAUGUGAAUUGCAGAAUUCAGUGAAUCAUCGAAUCUUUGAACGCACAUUGCGCCCGCCAGUAUUCUGGCGGGCAUGUCUGUUCGAGCGUCAUUUCAACCAUCAAGCCCCAGGCUUGUGUUGGAGCCCUGCGGCUGCCGCAGCCUCCCAAAACCAGUGGCGGGCUCGCUAUCACACCGAGUGCAGUAGUUUACUCUUCGCUCAGGGCGUGUGGCGGGUGCUAGCCGUGAAACCCCCAACUUCUCAAGGUUGACCUCGGAUCAGGUAGGAAUACCCGCUGAACUUAAGCAUAUCAAUAAGCGGAGGA
rnacentral:misc_RNA from 1 species